GAUGAACGCUGGCGGCGUGCUUAAUACAUGCGAGUCGAACGGACAGGCCCUGCUCUUGCGGCGUGCUUGUGUGGCGAACGGGUGAGUAACACGUGAGUAACCUGCCCUUGACUUUGGGAUAACUUCAGGAAAAUGGGGCUAAUAUCGGAUAGGAGAUCUUGCUGCAUGGUGGGGGUUGGAAAGUUUCGGCGGUUGGGGCUGGACUCGCGGCUUAUGAGCUUGUUGGUGGGGUAGUGGCUUACCAAGGCUUUGACGGGUAGCCGGCCUGAGAGGGGGACCGGCCACAUUGGGACUGAGAGACGGCGCAGACUCCUACGGGAGGCAGCAGUCGGGAAUAUUGCACAAUGGGCGGAAGCCUGAUGCAGCAACGCCGCGUGCGGGAUGACGGCCUUCGGGUUGUAAACCGCUUUCGCCUUUGACGAAGCGUGAGUGACGGUAAUGGGUAAAGAAGCACCGGCUAACUACGUG
rnacentral:rRNA from 1 species